GACGUUUGGCUCCAGCCCGGCCACCACUGCUCGCUCCCCUCUGCUCCUUUCCUACUUCCAUGCAAAAUGCAGGUAAAAAUAUUCAUCUCCAAGGAGGGGGAGCUUGUUAAUUAGAUAAUAAUAAUCAAGUUAUUUUAAACUGAAAAGCUGCUGAUUCUGGUGAGCAAUGUGGUUUUAUUUCUUUGCCUGUUUUUCUGAGAAUUUUUUUUCUUUGUGAGCACUCAACAGAAAUAUCCUUGCAAGAUGUGCAUCUCAUUUUCAUGAGAGUUUUAUGAAGACCCCAGGGAACAGCAACUAUAUUACCUGAAGUUACCUUUAUAUCAUAAGAUACAGGUAGCAGCUAGUCAAGAGACACAAAGGACCUUUGGAAUUUAAACUUGUUUGGUGUUUUGCUUAAUAGGGCUGAGCAAGAAAUUAUGCUGGCAUUGAAGUUUUCUGAGCUGGGCUAUGCUAUUUAAAAUGGAAUUUCAUACUAAUGAGCCUAAAAUAAAACAAUGUGUGGAAGGAGAUUUCAAAGUAUCCUCAAUUGUAUCAGUCGUUCCGCAGAAACAGGAAAAAAUGACAAAUCCAACCAAAGAGCACCCUCUCCUGGACAGCCCCCGAGUGAAACUCAAAAAUACCCAUUUUGCAGCAAAGAAGAGCUAUGCUGGUCCUAAAGGAGAAAGGGAGAGAAGAGUUGAACCUGGGAAUAGCAUCACUCAAUGGCUCGUUAGUUUGAUAAAGUGGCAUAAGUGACUCCAGCUCUGACGGGCACUUCCAGCUCCAGAACAUUUACACGUCCCCAGGGAAUUCUGAAAAACACAAGGAAGUCUUUAGGUACUGAAUCACAGGCAAGUAUUUUGAAUCUUUAAUUUUUUUUUAUAUAUAUUCUUUUCUAUGAGAAUGUCAGAACUAAAAUAUGGAAUAUGCUUUUCCCACUUGGUUCCUAUUACUUGUAAAGCAUUCAAAAUCUUCUGGAAUAAAAUUACCUCUCUGCCCUGCCAGGGAGAGCUCCACGGAGUAUCAGGGGAGUCCCUCUGCUGGUGUUGCUUUCCAUUUUUAACUCAAAUAUAAUAAUAAAAAUGACUAAAUAUUAGACUGGAGCUGCACAAUGUUAGAUUCAGCAUUUAUUUGUUAUCAUGUUUAUCCCAGUGGAGUUUUACUGUACAUUUAUAUUUAUAAAAAAAGGGCUGAAAUGUAUGCCAUAAAUUAAUGAGCUUACUGUUAGGUGUGACAGAUUCAUCAUCAUCAGAAUGUAAGUUUCUUUUAAAAGUUUGGUCAUAUGAGGGAAGGCAAUUUGCAUUUAGGAAAAAAAAAAUAUUUGAAACAGAAAUGCAAAGAGAUAAGAGGCGCAGGAAACUGAAUUCAUCCUGAAAUUAUCUUCCUUAAUUUUCUAUCCCAAUUUCUGUGUAUUUUCCAUGGUGGGAAAAACACUGAAGCAAAUUUGCACAGUUAACCCCAUAAACAGCUGACAUUUCUGCUGGGUGGAUUCAGGUCUGACAAUUAAGAUUAGACAACUCAACACAAAAAUACAUUUCUGUUUUGUUCCAGUAUUCAUUGGAGUUUUAAUCACAGUUGUCAAUGUGCUAUUGCAGUGAACAGUAUUUUCACAUUGAGUUAUUUUACAGUUCAUACAGCAGUAAGAAAUAUCUUAAGGUACUAACUGAUUAAUUCAACUUUAUUUAUUGUACAGGAAAGUGAUGACAUUGAAAAUGUUGUAUAAAUAGCAAAUACAUUAAACAGCAACAUCCCUCCCUUGCAUUAUGAACUGAAAUGACAUUAUUUUAAAACAUUUGAAAAAAUCAUCAUAAUUAUAUGUUAUCAACACAGAGACAGAUUACCUAUUAUUUUAACAUAAUUAACUUGAGCUCAGAGCAUUUAUGUUGCUCUGUGUGUCAUUAUCCAUUAAAAUGCUAAAAAUUGGGGUUUGAAUCUUUAAGUUAUUGUGACUUUUUUCUCUAAAUCCAUCAUUUGUUUCUCUCCACUUUCAACAUCUGAAAUUUUAAUUACAAUUCACAUUUCUUUUUCUGCCUGUCCUCUAGGCCACAUCCCAAUCUCACUUGGGAUGUUCUUGCACCAGGGCCUUCAAGAGAGAGAAGGUUUUCCUCUUUGGUGACCACAAGCUUGCAACUGAGUUUAUAUUCUUUCCUUACAAUGCUGUUGGGGUUUUCUGGGGUUUUUUGCAUCUUAUUGAUAUAUUCUGUCCAUUUAUAUAUUUAUAUCACCAGUUUAUAUAUUUUUCUUUUUCUCUUUUAAGCCUUUUAACCCUUCUCCCGCUACAGAAAGGCAAACAGAACAAUAAAUGGUAUCGUAUUUAAA